CAUACUUCUCGGCUUUAGGGUUAAGAUCAAGUGUGCUAUCUGUUCUUAUCAGUUUAAUAUUUGAUACGCUCUCCACCCGAGAGCUGCAGUAAAUGCAUUUUUAGAACUGGGAGGCACCCAGGGGCUUGCUCCUUCCCCUCCACGCACCGGUCCAGUAUUGCAGUGCCUCCGGAAGCAAUGCCCUUUCC